UGCCGCUGCCCUCCUUGGGCGUUUCCUCCCUAGACUUGGGGCGCCUCUUCGGAAGCGGCCUGAUCUUUCCCCGGU
rnacentral:sRNA from 1 species